GUUGCGUUGAAGUUAGAGACGGUGAAGGUGUCAACAUGGAAAGCGGGAAUUGCAGGGCGCAAGAUUAGCCACACUAUGAGGCUCGAUAAGCACAUAAAGAUAACCAAGAAAAAUAACCCGGCGAUGAUCCCCCGAACGAGACCGGAGACUUGUGGUUGUGGUGGAUACAUCGCUUGAGGAUGGUAAUAGCUGGCCGGCGGUGCUUGUGCAUAUGGGUAAUUGUUGUUGUAUCCAUUGUUAUAGCCAG
rnacentral:misc_RNA from 1 species